rnacentral:lncRNA from 1 species
UGGCUUCUGGCUGUUUGCCCUGUGGGAAUUACGUAAUUCCCAGACAAGGGCCCUCAACUUAGAAUUUCAGCCUCUCCUCUUAGACUUUUACUCCUCAGAGCUGGCAGCAAAAAUAGGUGAGAAUCUCACUUCCAAUGAUGCAGUGAGGCUGCUGAUUUUUAUUAGGUCAUUUUGUUGGUAGUGUAGCUGGGCUGGUGGUGGAAGGAAAUGCCAUGUUUGUGAGAUAAUAGAGUGAAUUCCAUUCCCCCCCCUUCCCUGAAAGUAACUAAAUUGUGCUCCAUUUUAUACUCUUAAGCAAUCCCUCCCCGAUUCUCGGAGGCCAGUAAAUGUAUCUGAAGCAACAGGCCUUGCUUAUUAAUUCCCCCCUCCACAGUGGGAUAGCAGGCUCAGACCAAAGAGCUGGGAUGAUGUACUGGGGUUUUACUAAAGAAAAGCAGGGGGCACAGGAGAGAGUUGAGGCUGGUGGCUGUUAUCAGAGGAUGUAUUAAUGAAAUGACCACUGUGAGCCGGAUACCUUACAGAUGUCCCCUCAUUUCAUCUCCACAACAGCCUUAUAAAGUAGUAUUCUCAUCUCAUAGGGGAGGAAAUUGAGUCUCAAAGAAUAAAGCAGUCCGCCUGAAAUCGCACAGCCGUUUAGUAUGGCCAGGAUCUAUAAGACCUUCACAGCUUACUCCAUUCCCCAGGCCAAGAGCCCUGCUCCAUAAAGUGCAGGGGACCUAGGUAAAGUCUCUAGUAGCUUCAUUAAUGCUAUGUGACCUUGUAUGCUUGAGCCUCUAUUUCUUAGGUCUUUAUCGCUAGGGUCAAGGACGCCAUAUUUCCUAGUCUUUGUGGUGUCCAGGACAGGGGCUGGUAGCUGUAUGUGGCCAUUUAAAUUAAUUAUAACAAAAUAAUUGUAAUAAAUAUAAUUCUUAUAAUGCAAUUAUAAGCAUUAUAACAACAUAAAGCUUAGCUAUAAUAAAACAAUAUAAUUUAGUUCCUCUAAAUCUAGAUUAUAUUACAUCACCCUAGCCACAUGUCAGUGCUCAGUAACUACUCAUGGCUCGUGGCUGUCUUUCUGGACGGUUCAGGCUUCCAGAGCACCUGCACCUUCACAGAAGGUUUUAUUGGAUAGCAGUGGACAUGGAACAUUCUACUUGUUAGUGGGACCUCCCCGCCUUUAGGUGGCACUUAGUUCUUCCAGGCCUGAAAAUCCAGCUUAUCCUGCUUAUCAAAACAAUGCUCAGUCCCCCUCUGGGUUUCCACAGGGAGGAAUUUUCCCUAAACACGUGUCUGCCCUCUGCCUCUUUACUCAGUCUGCUCCUGGCGGGUGGAGAGGCUUUACUGAUGGGUUAAUUUGGGAGGAAUACCUGGGAAUGAUUAUGUAUUGGGAACCACAAGGUCUUCUGUUGCCCCAGGGCCCCACCCCGAUGGUGGGCAUGGUUUUGAGGUGCCCUGAUACCUUAUGUUUGCCUUUAAAUCCACUUUGUACCCGUCUCUACCCUGCUCUAGCCUCCAGGAGGCUGUCCUCUGUGAUCUACAUCAGUAAGGUCCUUUGACCUCUGUCAGGCCCACCAUGCCUUAAGGACCUAUACUCCCAACCGCGUUUACAGUAAGUUGGAAGGGUUACAUCUGGGCAUGGGCACCAGCAGGGUCAGGUCACAGAGACCACAUGAGCUGGUAACCUGGGCCCCUUUUACCUACUACUCUUCUCCUGGUGCGUCUCGCUCAGCUCACGCCUAUGGCUGCAGUAGUGUCUCUUAGUCAGCAAACAGGCCCCCUGACAUGGAGGAAAAGGAGAUAGAAGAAAGAGGCAGAACCCUCCAUAUUGGCAGGUGGCAGUUUUCACAAGCAAGGGGAACUUACCCAGGAGACUUGUCUAGAUGAUUCGAUCUCUAAACCUGACAGCCAGAAUCUUAACAUUUGUAUAAUUUACCUGGGUUCUGUCAUAGGUACCAUCCAGAUGGUCUGAAAAACACACUGCUCUCUUGAGGCUGCAUCCUGGACAUUCCAAGGACAGGGGAGGGGGCAGGGAGCCUCCGAUUGCCUAAGACCAGCUCUGGUCAAUCGUAGGUCAGACCCUCUCUGUGACCUCCUCCAACUAGGUCCCUGUGACCAACCAAUGAAAGAAGUCAAAGGUCAAACCGAGUUUGUAGAUGGGUUGGCUCUCCUUGUGGGUGUGAACUGCAGAUGGGCUGCUGUAUCACAUCUCCAUUUAGUGGUGGCCCUGAAGGAGAGAGUGAAGAGAGAGCCUCCAAACAGAGAUUUGGGAGAUGUAUCUGAUUACCUGCGUUUUGCGGGAAGAGAAGUAGCCCAGACCAACAGUAUAUAUGGGCUCAUGGUCAGUCCUCAAUGGCUUAUUUGAUUGAUCAAAGCCUGGGAAGGGAAAGAUUGGAGGGUAAGAGACAAGGAGGUCUGGGCAAGAGGCAUGUGGAAGUAUCUGUGGGCAGGAGCAUGAUGUGUGACAAACUUUGUAUUAAAUGUUAAAGCUUAAAGGAGAGCAUUCAUUCACCAAGUUGAUGAAAUGCUUUAGCCAGUUGAAGUCAGUCCCUGGAAACUCUAAUACUGGCAAAGGGGACUUCGUGCCAUGGCGUCAGGGGUGGAAGCAGUGCAUGGACCCACAGCAGGGGCUCCCUGUCACCAGGGCUGAUUUUCCACUGCUGAAUACCUGGCUUUCUGGGAGCAGAGACCAACACUGAGUGGCUGAUUUGGCACAAUGCCUUAGGGAAACCAAUCCACCACUUGGUGGCAAGUCAUUACAUCAGAGCUCGCCCCUCUUGGAGGGAUCAGCUUUUUAUCUUGACUGAAUCAACAAGCAUGCCAGGUACAAGAGUGCCUGAAAGCAUUGGGAAGCAUGGCUGUCAGGGAGCUUAUAUAGUACUUAAUCCCUCAGUGCAGGAUCUCACUGGACUGAAGAACCCCCUUAGAGACAAAGAGGUGGUGAACAUGUCCACGGAAUCCACUGGCUCUAUUACAUAUUGCUUCAUCCAGAAAUUGCUGGCUAUGAUGAAACAGCUUCUUAACAGCCACCGAAGACCUAGCUUAGAGAUGACAAACUCUGAGGAUGGGCUCCAUCCUCUACGACAUGGUAAGACCCUACAUCAACAACCAUUUUAUGGGGCUGUGUCCCCGUGGGUAGAAAGUAUGAAUCUGGGAACCUAGAGGUGGAAGUUGGGUGGAUCUGCUUAUAUCACUCUCAGUGACCUACUUAGGGAGUUCGUGUCUCCUGUUGCUGCAUUUCCAGGCAUUUGGGGUUUAGUUCCCAGAGAGAGGAGGAUAUUUCCAAUCAGGAAACUCAGUAGGGGUCCCAUUAAGAUCUCUCUGUUGACUGGCCCUUGUGUCUAAGCCUAUCAAAUAAGGGAAAUGAUCUCUUCCUGGUAGGAAUAAUUGACCCUGAUGACCAGGAGGAGGCAGGGCGGCUGUCACACAGUGGGGUGUCUCUUGGAACCCCCUUACCCCUUUUUAAUAAUAAAUGGACAUAGUGACCAGGGGGUCAGAUGGUCUUACCAAUGAAAGUCAAAGUGAACCCAAUAGGUAAGCCCACUUAGACCAACAGAGGUGCUAGCCAAGGGGGAGAGGAAUCUAAAACCAGUAACAGAGUGGAGAGGUGAUGUGGAAUAGUGACCUUGAAGGCAGCUGCAACAAAAGGGGCUGUAAUUCAAGUCACUAACCUUCCUCUUACAAGCUUACCCAGAAAAACAGGCCAGCCAGAAUCCUGGAGGAACUGCUCUCAGAUCUAACUACUGAAAAAAAUGGAUCCAGGGGGCUCGGGGCUGAACCCUAGUGAGCGCUCUGGGGACUUUGCCCAGGUCCCACUUUAGGACCGAAGAGCUCAUUCUCCCAGCCUCUGAGAAUGGUGGUGACUUGUGCCUCUCAUCUGAGGCCUCCAGGAAUUCCCUUCCACCAAAGAGAGCCACAAGUUGCACUGUCCCCAGGUCACACUCCACUCCCAGGGGCAGCCCCCAUCCAAAGUGUGGUCAGUGUAAAGGCCCAACUUUGUAGCAUCAAGCUGGGAUAUCAGGGAAGUUUCAUCCCCGUCCCUGCAUCCCAUGAGGCUUUUGAUGCCACUUCUUCCCAGCUCAGUGCCUCCCUGGGCCCACUUCCACUGCUCUGGUGCACUCACAGAUGUAGCUCUUGAGUGUGUUCCCCAGGAGACUUCCUUCAGUUGUCCUAAUUGAAUGUGCCCUCUGAACCCUGCUGGGAGCUUUGCUCCAGGCUCUGGAUCCCCCAGCUGAUGGGUAAGUCUGUCCAGUUUUGAGAUGCAGUGUUAGUAGGACUGCUAAAAUCUGUAUUCUCAAACCUCAAAAAAUCAGCUUGAUGAAGCUAUUUUGGCCCCUGCAUUAAUUCUGUGUUUAAAUUAUUCAGGACAUGAGUGGGGAAAUACUCAGUGGUGGCUUCCUAAGAAACCCCUACCCCAUCAAGUACAACUUGUACCUGAUUUUGAUGGAACAACCAAGUGUUUGACAUGUUCAAGGGUGCCCUUUUUGAAUGAGUGUGUGUGUGUGUGUGUGUGUGUGUGUGUUGAGGGGAGUGAUAUCUAGCAAGUGUGGCCUCCUUUCAGGAGGACAGCUAUUUUCCCCCUAGACGGGGCCCUGAGAGGAUAGGCAGGUUGAUUGAAUCUCUUUGAUUUUCAAGGUUAUUUAAGACAUUGAUGUGCUCUGUAUCUAAAAAUCUCUCUUUUUAAAAUUUAUUUUUUCAUUACAUAAUUAAUAAUGGAAUUCAUUCUCUUUGUUUAAAAAAUAAUUAAAGCAUUAAAGAUAAGGCUAGAAUUCCCUUUGGCUGUCACACCAAUCCCCUCCCAGAAGACAAAUGAUUACCCUCCAGACCUUUUCCAAAUUGGCAGUAUCUAUUUAAAUUAAAGUUGUUCAUUUUCUUUGACCUGGAAAUUCUCCUUUUUGGAAGUUACGCUGAGGAAAGCCUCUUGAAUACACAUGAGAAAGAAUGAACAGGGAUAUUUAUUGCAGCAUUGUUUAUAACAGCAGUAAAGGUAAGCAACUUAAUAGGAGUCUUAAUUGUGGUAUGUUUUUACAAUGAUAUUGCAUACAGUAGGGAAAAGAGUGAGGUGGAUCUGUAAGUGCCCACAUGAAAACAUCUUCAGGAGUGAGAAAGGAAGUUGCAGAUUGAUAAAUGCACUAUGAUUCUAUUUUUUCAGGCUAUUGAAAUAACUCCGUAGGAGUUCCUGUUGUGGCUCAGCAGGUUAUGAUCCCGAUUAAUAUCCAUGAGGAUGAGGGUUCAAUCCCUGGCCUCCCUCAGUGGGUUAAGGAUCUGGGGUUGCUGUGCGCUGCGGUGUAGGUCACAGCCAUGGUUUGGAUCCUGCAUUGCUGUGGCUGUGGCAAAGGCUGGCAGCUGCAA